AGAUUGAACGCUGGCGGCAUGCUUUACACAUGCAAGUCGAACGGCAGCACGGGGGGCAACCCUGGUGGCGAGUGGCGAACGGGUGAGUAAUGCAUCGGAACGUAUCCUUGAGUGGGGGAUAACGCAGCGAAAGUUGUGCUAAUACCGCAUAAGCUCUGAGGAGGAAAGCGGGGGAUCGUAAGACCUCGCGCUGGUGGAUGAGCCUACGUCCGAUUAGUUAGUUGGUGGGGUAAAGGCCUACCAAGGCUACGAUCGGUAGCUGGUCUGAGAGGACGACCAGCCACACUGGGACUGAGACACGGCCCAGACUCCUACGGGCGGCAGC
rnacentral:rRNA from 1 species